CCUGGCGGCACUAGCGCGGUGGUCCCACCUGACCCCAUGCCGAACUCAGAAGUGAAACGCCGUAGCGCCGAUGGUAGUGUGGGGUCUCCC
rnacentral:rRNA from 7 species